CGUAGGUGGCAAGCGUUGUCCGGAAUUAUUGGGCGUAAAGGAUGCGUAGGCGGCUCUUUAAGUGGGAUGUGAAAUCCCCAGGCUUAACCUGGGAAUGGCAUUCCAAACUGGAGAGCUAGAGUGCAGGAGAGGAAAGUGGAAUUCCCAGUGUAGCGGUGAAAUGCGUAGAGAUUGGGAGGAACACCAGUGGCGAAGGCGACUUUCUGGACUGUAACUGACGCUGAGGCAUGAAAGCGUGGGAGCAAACAGGAUU
rnacentral:rRNA from 1 species